GUGGGGAAUAUUGGACAAUGGGCGCAAGCCUGAUCCAGCCAUGCCGCGUGUGUGAAGAAGGCCUUUUGGUUGUAAAGCACUUUAAGCGAGGAGGAGGCUCCUUUAGUUAAUACCUAAAGAGAGUGGACGUUACUCGCAGAAUAAGCACCGGCUAACUCUGUGCCAGCAGCCGCGGUAAUACAGAGGGUGCGAGCGUUAAUCGGAUUUACUGGGCGUAAAGCGUGCGUAGGCGGCUUUUUAAGUCGGAUGUGAAAUCCCUGAGCUUAACUUAGGAAUUGCAUUCGAUACUGGAAAGCUAGAGUAUGGGAGAGGAUGGUAGAAUUCCAGGUGUAGCGGUGAAAUGCGUAGAGAUCUGGAGGAAUACCGAUGGCGAAGGCAGCCAUCUGGCCUAAUACUGACGCUGAGGUACGAAAGCAUGGGGAGCAAACAGGAUUAGAUACCCUUGUAGUCC
rnacentral:rRNA from 1 species